AGGACGAACGCUGGCGGCGUGCUUAACACAUGCAAGUGGAGCGACGAACCAGGGCUUGCCCUGGGGCAGAGCCGCGAACGGGUGAGUAACACGUGGGUUACCUGCCUCGAUGACCGGGACAACCCGAGGAAACUCGGGCUAAUACCGGAUGUGCCCGCAAGGGGAAAGGAAGCUUCGGCCUCCGCAUUGAGAUGGGCCCGCGGCCCAUUAGCUUGUUGGUGAGGUAACGGCUCACCAAGGCUUCGAUGGGUAGCUGGUCUGAGAGGACGAUCAGCCACACUGGGACUGAGACACGGCCCAGACUCCUACGGGAGGCAGCAGUGGGGAAUCUUGCGCAAUGCGCGAAAGCGUGACGCAGCGACGCCGCGUGGGGGAUGAAGGCCUUCGGGUUGUAAACCCUUUCAGCAGGGACGAAGCGAAAGUGACGGUACCUGCAGAAGAAGCGCCGGCUAACUACGUGCCAGCAGCCGC
rnacentral:rRNA from 1 species